CCAACAUUGGCAAAGUAAAGUGAUAGGAACAGGAGCAUUUCACAUUUUCAAAUGGACAUCAUUCAUUUCAGCUUUCAAGAUUACAGUCUGAGGAUUGAGGCAGGACCUCAUGGCAAGCCAACCUGCUGCUCUCUGCUCUCAGUGGAUAAACAGACCAUGUGCCGACAGCAUGCAGUUUGUCUGAGGUCGCCGAUCUGUUUCUGGAGCCUGGAUAGUUUGCCUACAAAAUGGGACCACAAGCAAUGUGACAUACAGGAUCAGUUCAGCCACUGGCUGAAAUCAUUUGGGAUACCACUGAGUACUAGGUGUCUUUCUUAUAAUUAGUCUUUAUGGUCCAGGGAGAUGUUCAAAUGCAAGUUACUUUCAGCUGAAACUAAAGCAUUCAUCAAGUGCUAAACAGUGUUACAAAGAGAGAAAAAACUGGCCAAACCCUUUGAUAGUGUUGACAUUUUUGAGGCAAAAGCUCUAUGUACAUUUUCAGAGGUCAUCGGAAAGUAAACACCUAUUAAUGGUUACCUCAUGACAACCAGAUAAACAGGUCGAGGUAAUGAUUAAGCCAGUGUUGGUCAGGUUAUAGGCCAUGUGUGCAUAAAGACAUGUUGGGUGAAAGCAGGUUCAUGCCGGUGCUAAGGAGCGAGUGUAAUUGUUUUAGGACAGCGUUCUUUGACCUAUGAUGUGUGAAUGUAGUACAGUAGUUCUAGAGAGAACAACUCAAGCAUUUUUGAUAUAGUAAUGUCACACAAACACUCGAUUUGUGGAGAACUCUGUAAAAUAUGCCUGUUGGAAGCCAUCACUAUAGUUAUGCAGGUAUUGUGGGUGGGUGGUUGGCUGUUCCGACUACAACGAGGAGAGAAGAAAGCACUCUCAAGUUCACAAGGUCACUUCCAGCCCAGGGAUAAAGUAAACUGAGCAAAACUGUGCAAGCUGCAACUUAUCAGUCUUCUUGCAUGCCAGGACUUUUUUUUCUUUCUUUCCAUCGCAAUUUCUUCCUUUAUCAUUUUUGUGUUUUGAAAACAAAGUGGGCUGAGCUCAGCACCAAAUGUCAGUUAGACCCUC